GAUGAACGCUGGCGGCGUGCUUAACACAUGCAAGUCGAACGAGAAUCAGUGGAACAAGGAUUUAUCUGAGGGAAGCUGAGGAAAGUGGCGGACGGGUGAGUAACGCGUGAGCAAUCUGCCUUGGAGUGGGGAAUAACGGCUGGAAACAGCCGCUAAUACCGCAUGAUACAGUUGGGUCGCAUGGCUCUGACUGUCAAAGAUUUAUCGCUCUGAGAUGAGCUCGCGUCUGAUUAGCUUGUUGGCGGGGUAACGGCCCACCAAGGCGACGAUCAGUAGCCGGACUGAGAGGUUGGCCGGCCACAUUGGGACUGAGACACGGCCCAG
rnacentral:rRNA from 1 species